ensembl:snoRNA
UCUUUUUAAUUUAACCUUUCUGCUAAAACUGUAUAAACUAAUCUAAUCUCAGCUUAGUAUUUGUGACAAAGCUAGCAGAGUAAGCACAGGAAGAAAAAUCAAUUAAACAACUACACCAGAUAGAAGAAAACUGAGAUGAACCUCUUCAGUCCAGACUGCUUGUUCUAGAUUUGAUAUCACAGCG